CAUGUUUUCUUUUCUUUUGCAGUAUGCGGUGAUGUGGUUUUCGCAGUGCCGCCUGAGUAUAACUGGGGUGACGGACUGGCAGUGAGCGUGAGGGCAGUGAGAGCAGUGAGGUUAGCCAUGGAGGGGCACACGUGGGAGGGCCUCAUCCUCAUGGACAGAGAAAACCUGGACUCGCUGCAUGACAAGGUGGAGUACAGGAAGGAAAGCGUGCAGGAGACCUUUCAAACACUCAUUACCAAAACCUGUAUCUCCUUUGACCCUGAGGACACGCACUUCGAGAGCACCAGCAGUGAAGGAGAGGAAAGUGUGGCGAGUUAUGUUUUGAAGGGUGAGAAGGAGGCCGAGGGGAGAAAACAUGGCAAGGACAGCCGCUUCGAUGACACCAGUGAAGGUGAGGAGAGUGUUGUGUGCUGUGACUUGAAGAAUGAAAGAAUGGAGUUUGACGAUGAAGGACGAGACCCUUACAGCGAGGAUGUGGACAUUUUGAUGGAGGCACAGGAGAAGGUUACAUGGGAGGACGAGGACGCAUACGUGUGUAUUAGGGAACAAUCUAAGGAGGGGGAACCUUCGGUUGGUGAUUUUAAGGACACGAGCACCAUCAAUGAGACCCAUGAGAAUAACUGCGUCGCAACACGUUUGUCCUUCUGCAGGAACUGUGAGGAAGGUCCCAUCUGCUGCGCCGAUCUUGCUUCUCAUGAUGACGCCACUGCAAGGCCGCCAGAGACUGUAUCUCCUAGGGAUGACAGGAAGGACGUCAAGCAGUGUGUGGAUGGAAUGAGAAAUGAGGGAGGCGAGGAGCAGUGUCCUAUCGACUCUUACCUUGAUGAUAAUGAUGGUGAUGAUGAUGACACGGAAGGGAGUGUUGCAAGUGGCGAGUAUGACUUAGGUAAUAAUCAAGACGAAGAUAAAGGAGAAUUAGAGAGACUAAAGGAAGUGGAAGAAGUAGAGACAGAAGAAGAAGCACAUGAACAAGAUCAGGAGGAAGGAAGAAGAGAAGAAAAUUACAGUGACUUUGAUUAUGGAAAUGAAGGAGACAGAAGAGGAAGAGAGAGAAUAGAAAAAAUAGAGUUUGAACAAAAGAAAAAUGAAGAAACUCAAGAACAAUAUCAUGGAGAAAGAGAUUAUUACAGUGAGGAAGACAGUGAUUAUGGAGAGUUCACCAUGCUAGAAACUCUACUGUCAACCUGUAGCUCAUACGAAGACAUUAUCAACGAGGAGGAGAUCCCAACAAACAGCGACAGGACACAACCAUAUCUUCGAGCCCCAGACACGUACUAUCGCUGCCAGGAGCCCCUCGAGGUGAUUCUGGAGAUCUUAGGGGAGGAAGGCGAGGACGAAAUCAAACAGAAAGGCAUUCAUGACGAGACGGGGACAUUGCAUGACGCUGAAACACAAGGCAGUCAUGAUAGUCACUCUGAGGACGAAGAAACACUGUGUGGCAGCGAAGACUUCAGCAUCGAUAGUCUUGAUGAGUGUCCUGCACUUGAGAACAAAACUACUUGGUCAGAGUUGGCUAAAAGCACCUCAGGAAGUAACAUCGUUCACAUGUACAGCGACGAAGAGAGACACAACACUAGGGCAUUAACGGAAACAGAGCAAACAAGUGAGGAGUCUAUAUCCACGCGAAGCAGUAACAGUAAAUCCGUGUCCUCGAAAGUCAAAGGUCGCGACGCGUCGGACAGGGACAAGCUGCGAUGCCUGACGUCUGAGAUCGAGGAGUACUUGCGGGAAACCACCUUGCUGCUGGAAAGUGCCACCAGUUACUGCAUCCCGAAGAAGAAGAAAGAAAACACGUCCCAAGAGCAUCCAAUAAUUAAGAGUCAAAAGUUAAUCAGUACUAGGGAUGUAAAAGACGCAAACACGCACACCCCCCAGCAUUUACCGACCAGCACCAUGACGAACACGGGGGCCACAUCCGCUCCGCCGCCUGCCACGCUCCAGCACGACUCUCCUUCCCCAUCAGUGGCGUGCUUAGCUGACACCACGAGUAACGAACCAGCUAAUUCUGCUGCUACUGUGGAAAGAACAGAGACAAGUUUGGACAUUUUAGAGAAAUUAUGGGAGCCGAUAACUGGACCUCUCAACACCUCAGGCUCCAGCGAAGGAAUGGGAGACGCUCGCGAGGAUGCAUCCUUUGAUUACCCCAUUGUGAGCGUCUCCUUCACGCCCGACCGAGAUGAAGAUGAGGAUGAGGAAUGGAACACUGCAGAACUCAUCCAGGAGAGGAGCGAAUCCCCACACGAGUAUCUCCUUCUUAGUGAUAUGAUGAGCAUCUCCCGGUCAGUGGUGGAAAAGGAGGGGGAGAGUCAGUAUUUCUCCGUGUUGGAAUCCUCGAGUGACGCCAUGGAUGCUCUGGAGUGGGAGGAGAGGAACACCAAGAGUAGAGGAGCUUCACCUGUCAUCUACGUCCCGUCGCAGAGAACGGAGGAGGACGAAUACUUCUUCACGAGCCUCGAGAACGCCGGGGACAACUGGCUGGCAAUGUAUGAUGAGCCUGGGGAGUGUCUGGAGUCCUCUAGUCUCGAGCAGCUCUCUGUCACUCCACACGAUUCCAGCUGCGAGGAUCUGAAAAUCAUCAAAGGCGGUGGCGCGACUGAUGCUGCUACUUUCGUUUCAUCCACACCCAAAAGAUCCUCCGUUCCUCCUCCACCUCCUCCUCGGAAGAGUUUAUCACCACCUCUCCUUCCUCCUCCUCCUAGAAGAAGUUUACCUCCUCCUCCUCCUCGAAGUUCUCUACCUCCUCCUCCUCCUCCUAUUCGAAGUUCUCAUGCACCUCCGCCUCCCCCUCCUCCCCGCCCUCCUCCCCCGCGCCCAGAAUCCCCGCCGCCCACUGUCUCCUGUCUAGCAAGCCUCGAGAAGCUCUGCAACACGUGGGAUGCUCACCAUGACAACAGUGAUAGACAGACUCUAGGCUUCGGUGAGCUUGAAUUACCAGCAGGAAUUGCUGUGGAAAGUACGGGUGAAAAAUAUGAAGGUCAGAGAACGAGGAGAUUCCAGGACUCAGGAAGGACCUCUCAAAAUGAUCUUCACAGGGUGGAAAUGCAUUCUCGUCUAAAAGAACAGGAUGAAUUGAUGAGAGACAACAGAGCGCUAGAAAUGAACAGUAUACAUGACAUAACGGGCAUUACUGAUAACCCACAGAGCAAAGUAGUGUAUGCGAGAAGAGGACUUGGGAAAGAAAAUGGUAAAAGCCAAAACCUCACAGAAAACGUAGAGGUCCCAUGCAAUGGCGGGGGUACUAAGAAAAUAUCUAGUCAGUUUAGAAUUAGCGCUAGACUCGAGGAAAUAUUUAGAGAAGCUGAACAUGAAACUUGUAUAUUAACCAAUAGGAAUACCCUGAUUUCACCUCCACUUCCCACGGUGGGUGUGGGUGACAAAACUAAUACGGGACGGGAAGACAACGAUCAUCUGACGACGAGGCAGAGAGAGGCGAUGGAUCUCCAGCGACAACUGAAUGAGAUCUUGAAUAAAAUGGACGUAAUGUAUGAGGAGCACCUAAGGCCACGGAACAUGAGACACGUGGAGCCUCCAGAUUUACGAACACCAGUGCAACGAGGGAGUAGCAGCAGGAGGGACUUGGAGGCCCUUACAAUGACGCAGAGCUCGGAGAAGACAGCAUUUCAGGACAUUAUUAACAUUUCCGAGGACUUGAAGCACAUCUGUAUGUUCCAUGUCAACAAGGUGGAGGGCGGCGAGUACCAGCCUGACCACACGACCACCAUGACUCCUGCUGUUACGCCGAUGACUGCAACCACUACACCGCCUUCAGCGUACCACAGCAGACCCGAUGAUGUAACCACUCCUACGUUACAUCACAUAACUGAAGCAGACGCUGGUGACGCAAGGCGCAAUAACCGCGAGAAUUACGAGUUUCCAGGGGUGCGAGACAGAAUCUCACCACAUCGACAACCUGAAGGAGACGCUGUAGGAUAUCCACCACCUGACGGAGGCAAAGCAGUAGACUCUCCCAGGUUGAUUCGAUUCCUGCAAGAGCUCCGAGCGAGGAAUCUGCAGUGCUACGAUUUGCCCCUGAGGUACCUGAAGGAGCUGCUAGUGUAUACUCCUGACGGUGACGCUGACGGUGCUGCCUCGCUUCACAGCCACUCCAUAAAGGCCGCGAGUCCCCCACGCCCCACUAGGUUGCCGGAUGCAGCCACGGGGACCAGGAGCCAACCCUCGAAGUACUUCCCUAUGUGUCCUACCCUGCAAACACCCUGUGGACACGCUCACUCGAACAGACUCAGUGAUUAGUGUACAUGUAAUGAUAGCGUUUAGUGUGUGUGUCUGUGCGUGUGUGUGUGUGUGUGUAUGUGUAGGAGAGCGGCGGCGGCGGUGGUAGUGUUACCGUCUUGAGCGUGGGGUCAGCUUCAGUCAGCCAGACUGCCAGUCAGUGUUGAGGGCGGGCUCGUCGAAAGUGGUGCGGUGUGAACACGUCGCUCUUCUGCCGCUCACACAGACACACGUACACCCAUACAUACACAUACGUACAGUACCUGCAUAUGUAUAUAUAAAGCCAGUGGGUCACCCUCCCGGUUCUCAACUUGAAAUACACACACACACGGCAUCAACAAACGAGUGAAUACAAAAUCAUCUAGUUACUCCUUCGUUAACCUGGAAGUGAUCGGUAACGUGUAAUAGAGUUACCAGAGUGUGAAGAGUGAGUGAAUCUUACCAAUACCUGAGUUACUGGAGUGUGGCAGGCAGUAACAGCAUCUCGCCACAGCCUCAACGGAACCGUAUCGCCUCAGUAUGUAUUAGUGUGCACUAGUGUCCCAGUGUCGUGAAGGCGUGGAGGGAACGCUGCGCCCCUACGAUGUCCGUGUGUGUGAUAGGCGGGGGCAGUAGCGGAGGGGAGGCCGCGUGUAGCGUCGGGGACCUAGUGGGCGGUACUCUGUGCAUCCGAGUCGGGUCCCCAUGCCCACCGUCCUCCUCCUCCUCGUCCUCCUCCCCCUCCUCCUCCUCAUCCUCAUCCUCCCCCUCCGCCAUGACCUUCGACGGUCUAACGACGCCCGCCACGCCGCCCUCUGAGGAAUAUCACCCUGAGGAGGAGAGCGAGAGAGAGUCUGAUGACGAGAGCAUGUCGGCGCUCCAGAUGGCGGCGGAGGGGCGGGCGGACUUACCUCAUGUGGUGCCCGGAUCAGGAGUUUGACAAACGCCGUCUCAGCGCUGGACAUAAGGGGUCUGGUGGAUUUGGUGCAGACGCUGCAGGAUGCCAUGGC